CCUACGGGAGGGCUGCAGUGGGGAAUAUUGGGCAAUGGAGGCAACUCUGACCCAGCAACGCCGCGUGAAUGAUGAAGGUCUUCGGAUUGUAAAGUUCUGUGAUGGGGGAUGAACACAAUGACGGUACCCCAAUAGCAAGCCACGGCUAACUACGUGCCAGCAGCCGCGGUAAUACGUAGGUGGCAAGCGUUAUCCGGAAUUACUGGGCGUAAAGCGCACGUAGGCUGUAUGACAAGUCAAGGGUGAAAUGCCACGGCUCAACCGUGGAACUGCCUUUGAAACUGUCAAACUGGAGUAUGUGAGAGGGCGGCGGAAUUCCUGGUGUAGGAGUGAAAUCCGUAGAUAUCAGGAGGAACAUCAGUGGCGAAGGCGGCCGCCUGGCACAAAACUGACGCUGAGGUGCGAAAGCGUGGGUAGCAAACAGGAUUAGAUACCCCAGUAGUC
rnacentral:rRNA from 1 species